UUGCUCUUGAUGACGAGUGGCGCACGGGUGAGUAACGCGUAUGCAAUCUACCUAUAACUGAGGAAUAGCCCAGAGAAAUUUGGAUUAAUACCUCAUAGUAUCAUUUGAAGGCAUCUGAGAAUGAUUAAAGAUUUAUCGGUAUAAGAUGGGCAUGCGUAAGAUUAGUUAGUUGGUGAGGUAACGGCUCACCAAGACUUCGAUCUUUAGGGGUUCUGAGAGGAUGAUCCCCCACACUGGUACUGAGAUACGGACCAGACUUC
rnacentral:rRNA from 1 species